AAGCUGCUCCCUCCGUUCCGAAUUACUUGUCUUGGAUUUGUCUAGAUACGGAUGUAUCUAGACUCAUUUUGAUGCUAGAUACUUCCGUAUCUAAACAAAUCUAAGACAAGUAAUUUGGAACGGAGGGAGUAGGAA
rnacentral:pre_miRNA from 1 species